rnacentral:rRNA from 1 species
AACCCUGCACUUACAAAGCUGUGGAAGCACAUUUCUUGUGUGACCGCGUACUUUUUGUAGAACGGGCCAACGAGUUACGUUAAGUAGCAAGGUUAAGCACUUAAGGUGCGGAGCCGUAGCGAAAGCGAGUUUUAACUGAGCGUUCAGUUACUUGACGUAGACCCGAACCGGGCGACCUACCCAUGAGCAGGAUGAAGCGAAAGUAAAAUUUCGUGGAGGUCCGAACCCACGAGCGUUGAAAAGCUCGGGGAUGACUUGUGGGUAGCGGUGAAAUUCCAAUCGAGCCCGGAGAUAGCUGGUUCUCCCCGAAAUAGCUUUAGGGCUAGCCUCAAGGUGAGAGAUACGGAGGUAGAGCACUGAAUGUCCUAGGGGGUAUUGCACCUACCGAAGACUAUCAAACUCCGAAUGCCGUCAUCUUAUACUUGGGAGUCAGACUGUGGGUGAUAAGAUUCAUAGUCGAAAGGGCAACAGCCCAGAUCGUCAGCUAAGGUCCCUAAAUGUAAGUUAAGUGGUAAAGGAUGUGGGAUUGCACAGACAACCAGGAUGUUGGCUUAGAAGCAGCCACUCAUUCAAAGAGUGCGUAAUAGCUCACUGGUCGAGUGAUCCUGCGCCGAAGAUUUCCGGGGCUAAAACUUACUACCGAAGCUACGGCAUCAGUAAUGAUGGGUAGGGGAGCUUCCCAUACGGGUUGAAGCAUGACCGUAAGGACAUGUGGACAGUAUGGGAGUGAGAAUGUUGGCAUGAGUAGCGAGAUGUGGGUGAGAAUCCCACAGGCCGUAAACCCAAGGUUUCCAGGGGAAGGUUCGUCCGCCCUGGGUUAGUCGGGACCUAAGCUGAGGCCGAAAGGCGUAGGUGAUGGACAACAGGUUGAUAUUCCUGUACUACCGAUAACCGUUUGAGAGAAGGGAUGACACAGUAGGAUAAGCUAAGCACACUGUUGGUUAUGUGUGCCCAAGCAUUGAGGCAGUCAAAGUAGGCAAAUCCGCUUUGAUAAUGCUGGGAUGUGAUGGGGAGCGAAAUUUAGUAGCGAAGUAGCUGAUUUCACACUGUCAAGAAAAGUCUCUAUCGAGGUUAAAGGUACCCGUACCGCAAACCGACACAGGUGGGUGAGGAGAGUAUCCUAAGGCCAGCGAGAGAACUGUUGUUAAGGAACUCGGCAAAAUGACCCCGUAACUUAGGGAUAAGGGGUGCCACCAUCAGGUGGCCGCAGAGAAUAGGCCCAAGCGACUGUUUACCAAAAACAUAGGUUUCUGCUAAGUCGCAAGACGAUGUAUAGGAGCUGACGCCUGCCCGGUGCUGGAAGGUUAAGGGGAUCUGUUAGAGCAAUCGAAGCAGUGAACUUAAGCCCCAGUAAACGGCGGCCGUAACUAUAACGGUCCUAAGGUAGCGAAAUUCCUUGUCGGGUAAGUUCCGACCCGCACGAAAGGCGUAACGAUUUGGGCACUGUCUCAACAACAGACUCGGUGAAAUUGUAAUUCCGGUGAAGAUGCCGGAUACCUGCGACAGGACGGAAAGACCCCAUGGAGCUUUACUGUAGCUUGACAUUGGGUCUUGGUACUACAUGUACAGGAUAGGUGGGAGGCUUUGAAACCAGGACGCCAGUUUUGGCGGAGCCAUCCUUGGGAUACCACCCUUGUAGUACUGGGACUCUAACCAUAGGCCAUGAAUCUGGUCUUGGGACACUGUCAGGUGGGCAGUUUGACUGGGGCGGUCGCCUCCCAAAAGGUAACGGAGGCGCUCAAAGGUUCUCUCAGUACGGUCGGAAAUCGUACGUAGAGUGUAAAGGCAAAAGAGAGCUUGAUUGCAAGACAUACAGGUCGAGCAAGGAUGAAAAUCGGACUUAGUGAUCCGGUGGUUCUGCGUGGAAGGGCCAUCGCUCAACGGAUAAAAGCUACCCUGGGGAUAACAGGCUUAUCUCCCCCAAGAGUCCACAUCGACGGGGAGGUUUGGCACCUCGAUGUCGGCUCAUCACAUCCUGGGGCUGUAGUAGGUCCCAAGGGUUGGGCUGUUCGCCCAUUAAAGUGGUACGCGAGCUGGGUUCAGAACGUCGUGAGACAGUUCGGUCCCUAUCCGUCGCAGGCGUAGGAAAUUUGAGAAGACCUGUCCUUAGUACGAGAGGACCGGGAUGGACGUACCUCUGGUGUACCAGUUGUCCUGCCAAGGGCAUGGCUGGGUAGCUAUGUACGGAAUGGAUAAGCGCUGAAAGCAUCUAAGCGCGAAGCCAACUUCAAGAUAAGAUUUCCCACCGCAAGGGUAAGACCCCAGAAAGACUAUCUGGUUGAUAGGUCGAAGGUGUAAGUGCAGCAAUGUAUUUAGCUUAUCGAUACUAAUAGGUCGAGGACUUGACCAA